rnacentral:lncRNA from 1 species
AGACUCUCGAGCGCCGGCCCCAGGAUGACAAUCACAUCCCAAGCGCGCCGAUCGCUUCCAACUUUGCUCUCCUUUUGCUAACUCUGGGCGGAGCGGCAAUCUCGACGUACAACUGGCCUUAGUCUUGGCUCGGGCCGUUCGGGAACACAAAGGGAAAGAUGCAGCGGGCUGCGCUCGGGAGAACGCUCUGCGCCCUCCUCGCCAGUGCGAAUAGCGAAGUUGGCGGACGUCUUGUUCUCCCGAGAGCUGGGCUGGGAGGUGGUUUUUCUCCCUCCACGCUCCACAGUGGCUUCUCCCUCCUGCCGGAGGUCUCUAGGUUGAGCUGGAGACCUGGAAUUCAGAUCCCAGGGAGAGUCGAUGGAUGCCGGCGCUCAGGGCACAGCGAGGCCGAGAUGACCGCCUUUCUGCGCCAGCAACUGCAGCAGAAUCACAGUUCUUAACGGAGCCCCUGACUGCCCGGUGGAAGGAGGUGAUUUAGAAGACAGUGAGACUCAGCUACUGUUCCCAUCGAGAUGCAAAGGACACAGAGCUCACGGGUGCUCCAGCAAUGCUGGUGUCAUGUUUGGAGGUAGCUGUCUAUGGACUACAGUAUUCUCCCAGUGCUAGUCUGCAGUCACUGCAAAGCCUCCCAAUAGAACAUUUCUUCCUGAGCCAACCUAUCAGUGCAGCUCUGGAAGCAAAUGACCUCUCCUGGCAGAGCCUUCACUGUGUGGGGAACAUCAGAUUUGUGUAAAGAAGAUCACCUGUCUCUUCUCAGGUGUGCACUGUAGAGAAGCUGCUGCGAAGGCCACAGGUCACUCAGGAAAAUUUGGGGCAGUUUUCUAGGUUCAAGGGAGACUGGACAUCAAAGCUGCACUGGGACAUAUGGACGCCUUGAUCCACUUUGGCCAUUCCACCUCAGCUCAGAAUUACUCACUGGUGUCAGCACAGGAUGUUUCUUGGCUUCAAACCAUUUGGAUAAGUGAUGGCAGCAAGCUUCGCCACUGUAAAGUCACCUCUUUGUAAGAAGACAGGAGCUCUUUGUAAAGAAUAUGAGACCUGAGGCUGGGGGAUGGCUGAGAAGGGAAAAGCACCUCUGCACAAGCGUGAGAAAAGGAGUUUGUUCUUCCACAUCCAUGUAGAAAUCUUGAUGCCGUGCCGUGAACCCCAGCUCUCCUACGGGAAGAUGGGAGGCGUAGACAGGAGUUCAUCUGGAAGCUUGAGGCCAGCCACCCAGAUCCUCAGAGCUGCAGACAAAAGAGAGGCCCUGCAGCAAAAGAGUGGAAGGUGAGAACCAACUCCGGAAAGUUGCCCUCUGACCUUUACAAGUGUAUACAUCCACACACAUACAAUAAAAUCAAUUGCUCAAUCACGUA